rnacentral:ncRNA from 1 species
AGGUUUUCCAACGUGCUGUCGAGCGGUUUGAUUAACAGACUGUUGUUGCGAAGCGUGACGUCGCCUUUCGCGGUGACCUGUUCGCCGUCGAGCGGAAUAUCGAGAUGUAAGCGAGCAUUCACAUCGCCGUCGAUCUGCAACUGCUCCAGCGCCGCGCCAAGCGACUCCUUCAGCGGCGUGUCGUCAAAAUAGGGGCCAACCGCACUCCCCGGACCGUUAAUGUCAGCGUCGAUCAGCAAUUUUUCUUUUGAAUAGUCGGGGAUCGCCGCCGUCAGAUUGCUGGCUUUUACUCCGCCCAGAUCGACGCCAUUGGUCUUCAUCCAUAAACCGUCGUUGAGGAAAUCCAGUUCAAUGUCCAGGUUAGUGAGCGCAGGCCAGCCGGGCUGGAAGGCGAAUGUCGCAUUGCGCAGCGGCACC